rnacentral:rRNA from 1 species
UACGUAGGGGGCAAGCGUUGUCCGGAAUCAUUGGGCGUAAAGAGCGUGUAGGCGGCCCGGUAAGUCCGCUGUGAAAGUCCAGGGCUCAACCCUGGGAUGCCGGUGGAUACUGUCGGGCUCGAGUCCGGAAGAGGAGUGUGGAAUUCCUGGUGUAGCGGUGAAAUGCGUAGAUAUCCGGAGGAACACCAGUGGCGAAAGCGGCCACCUGGACUGCACCUGACGCUGACACGCGAAAGCUAGGGGAGCGAACGGG